CGUCCUGUUCAACAACAGACACAUGACAUGAAAGGACGACGCGGUCGCACACGGCACGACACACAGCAUCGCCAUCCAUCACAGAACCAGGAACCGGCCUGGAAGGCACUUUGGAACAGAAAGAAAUGAAUCCAGAUCCGCUCCGAGUGAAGCAAAAACCAGAUUACAGCCGUAAACAAACUAAAGUACAAACAUGAUCCCGAUUGGACUUCUUUCCCUUGAGACGGACCUACAGAACCAGAAUCGCCGGUUCAGCGUAAGCAGACGGCAGCCCAGUGAGGCCAAAAACAUCCAGGAAAACCUGACAUCCACCCUUUGUUGAUCUGAUGUCUGAGGAAAUUCUGCUGAAGAAUUGUUCACUUUUCAGCGUCAGCCUGAACUUUUCAAAUCUCUCUGAUCAUAAAACGUUUUAAAAAUGACAAAAACACUAGUAAAGGAUCGAUUUCCAAACA